rnacentral:rRNA from 1 species
GAUGAACGCUGGCGGCGUGCCUAAUACAUGCAAGUCGAGCGAACAAACGAGGAGCUUGCUCCUCUGACGUUAGCGGCGGACGGGUGAGUAACACGUGGAUAACCUACCUAUAAGACUGGGAUAACUUCGGGAAACCGGAGCUAAUACCGGAUAACAUGUUGAACCGCAUGGUUUAACAGUGAAAGACGGUCUUGCUGUCACUUAUAGAUGGAUCCGCGCCGCAUUAGCUAGUUGGUAAGGUAACGGCUUACCAAGGCAACGAUGCGUAGCCGACCUGAGAGGGUGAUCGGCCACACUGGAACUGAGACACGGUCCAGACUCCUACGGGAGGCAGCAGUAGGGAAUCUUCCGCAAUGGGCGAAAGCCUGACGGAGCAACGCCGCGUGAGUGAAGAAGGUCUUCGGAUCGUAAAACUCUGUUAUUAGGGAAGAACAAAUGUGUAAGUAACUAUGCACGUCUUGACGGUACCUAAUCAGAAAGCCACGGCUAACUACGUG